UGGCAUGAGGUUGAUCUGGCUACAUUGUCUGUCAUCCUACUGAUCACCAGGGUUGAGUCAGCUGAUCUGGCUGGCUGGGUGGGAGUUCCUUCCCUCCCUCACCACUCCAUGUGUGUCCCUCCCCCAAACUGCACAUGGGGUCAAAGUGGACUACCUCCCCCAAUAGAGGAGGAUCAUUCUUUGGUCAAGGGCAUAGGAACAGCUGUGCUCCCCUGCUAGAACCUUCCAACAAGCUCUCAAAGUCUAUUUGUAGGAGAACAUAGGAUAGUCAGACUUCCAAGACUCCAGACACAUUCAAAUGAGGUGCUGCACCUGGCAGUCUGGCUUUCCUA
rnacentral:snRNA from 1 species